rnacentral:misc_RNA from 1 species
GAGGGGGAGAGAGGAGAAGAGAAAAAUGAGGAGAGCUAAAGAGAGCGGGGGAGAGGGAAAUGGGGAGGAGAGAAAGCAUUAGUUGGAGCAGCCUUCGCCAGAGCUCUCGUCGGUCUGCUGGUGGAGAGGCGAGAGACGGGGUCCGGCGACUGAAGAGAGAGGAGAGGGGAGGAGGACGGCUGGUCGGAAAAAGGAGAGAGGGGAGGCUCGCUGAGAAAACAGGGGGAGGGGGAAGACGGCUGAAGAGAGAGGAGCGAAGAUGAUGGCUGGUCGGAAAAAGGAGAGAGGGGAGGCUCGCUGAGAAAACAGGGGGAGGGGGAAGACGGCUGAAGAGAGAGGAGC